rnacentral:rRNA from 1 species
GAUGAACGCUGGCGGCGUGCCUAAUACAUGCAAGUCGAGCGAACAGACGAGGAGCUUGCUCCUCUGACGUUAGCGGCGGACGGGUGAGUAACACGUGGAUAACCUACCUAUAAGACUGGGAUAACUUCGGGAAACCGGAGCUAAUACCGGAUAAUAUAUUGAACCGCAUGGUUCAAUAGUGAAAGACGGUUUUGCUGUCACUUAUAGAUGGAUCCGCGCCGCAUUAGCUAGUUGGUAAGGUAACGGCUUACCAAGGCAACGAUGCGUAGCCGACCUGAGAGGGUGGACCGCCCCCAUGGAACCGAGACACCGUCCCAACUCCCAAGGGAGGGCGCAGGUGGGAAUUCUCCCGCAUUGGGCGAAAGCUUACGGGGGAACCGCCGGGUGGGGAAUAAAGGUCUUCGGUCGGUAAACUCUGUUAUUAGGGAAGAACAAAUGUGUAAGUAACUAUGCACGUCUUGACGGUACCUAAUCAGAAAGCCACGGCUAACUACGUG